UGAGAAGGGUUUGAGUGUAAGCAUUCUUGUUGAGGAAAUCCCAACCGAUACUUCAUUUUGCAUGUACUUCGAUAGAAAAUUGGGUUAAAAAUCUUCAAUCAGGAUGUGGUAGUCGACCGUAAUAUUAGGAAGUUUAGAGGCAUUGGCAGGAGCCUCGAGAAGGAUUAUAAUUUUUGUGAAACAGCCUGCCUACCCUAUAAUCAGCUUAGUCAGAAAAAGAGUCCAGUGGCUAGAAAAGCAUGUCACGUAGCAUGGUGUUCGGUGCACUCCCGGCGGCCUUUAAAAAUCCGAAAGACCGAAUGUAUUCCAUGCUCGGUCAUACUUAUAACAACAUCAGGUCUCCAAGGUGAACAACCUCU
rfam:Capsicum annuum cultivar Zunla-1 chromosome 5, whole genome shotgun sequence